AGUGAACGCUGGCGGCGUGCCUAAUACAUGCAAGUCGAACGGAGUGGCGCACGGGUGAGUAAUGUAUAGCUAAUCUGCCCUACACUAGAGGACAACAGUUGGAAACGGCUGCUAAUACUCCAUAGUGUAGGAUGAGGCUAUAUUGUUUCAGCUAGUUGGUGAGGUAAUGGCUCGCCAAGGCGAUGACGCAUAACUGGUUUGAGAGGAUGUUCAGUCACACUGGAACGGAGACACGGUCCAGAAUGCUACGGGAGGGGGCAGUAGCGAAUAUUGCUCAAUGGGGGAGACCCUGGAGCAGCAACGCGGCGUGGAGGAUGACACUUUUCGGAGCAUAAACUCCUUUUGUUAUGGAAGCGGUACCUAACGAAUAAGCACCGGCUAACUCCGUGCCAGCCGCCGCGGUAAUAC
rnacentral:rRNA from 1 species